rnacentral:rRNA from 1 species
GACGAACGCUGGCGGCGUGCCUAAUACAUGCAAGUCGAACGCAGUGGGGACGGGUGAGUAACACGUGGGUAACCUCCCAUCAGAGGGGAUAACACUUGGAAACAGGUGCUAAACCGAUACUGAUGGAUGAACCCGCGGUGCAUUAGCUAGUUGGAGGGGUAACGGCCCACCAAGGCGAUGAUCAGUAGCCGGUCUGAGAGGAUGAACGGCCAUAUUGGGACUGAGACACGGCCCAGACUCCUACGGGAGGCAGCAGUGGGGAAUCUUCCGCAAUGGACGAAAGUCUGACAGAGCAACGCCGCGUGUGUGAAGAAGGUCUUCGGAUUGUAAAGCACUUUAAGUUGGGAGGCGUUACCAACAGAAUAAGCACCGGCUAACUUCGUGCCAGCCGCCGCGGUAAUUC